rnacentral:rRNA from 1 species
AGUGAACGCUGGCGGUAGGCCUAACACAUGCCAGUCGAACGGCAGCACAGUAAGAGCUUGCUCUUACGGGUGGCGAGUGGCGGACGGGUGAGGAAUACAUCGGAAUCUACUUUUUCGUGGGGGAUAACGUAGGGAAACUUACGCUAAUACCGCAUACGACCUACGGGUGACAGCAGGGGAUCUUCGGACCUUUCGCGAUUGAAUGCGUCGAUGUCGGAUUAGCUAGUUGGCGGGGUAAAGGCCCACCAAGGCGACGAUCCGUAGCUGGUCUGAGAGGAUGAUCAGCCACACUGGAACUGAGACACGGUCCAGACUCCUAAGGGAGGCAGCAGUGGGGAAUAUUGGACAAUGGGCGCAAGCCUGAUCCAGCCAUACCGCGUGGGUGAAGAAGGCCUUCGGGUUGUAAAGCCCUUUUGUUGGGAAAGAAAAGCAGCAGGUUAAUACCCCGCUGUUCUGACGGUACCCAAAGAAUAAGCACCGGCUAACUUCGUG